GAUGAACGCUGGCGGCGUGCUUAACACAUGCAAGUCGAACGAAGCAUUUUAGCGGAACAUUUUCGGAUGGGAAGUUAAAGUGACUGAGUGGCGGACGGGUGAGUAACGCGUGGAUAACCUACCAUAUACAGGGGGACAACAGUUGGAAACGACUGCUAAUACCGCAUAAGCGCACAGUGCCGCAUGGCACGGUGUGAAAAACUCCGGUGGUAUAUGAUGGAUCCGCGUCUGAUUAGCUAGUUGGUGAGGUAACGGCCCACCAAGGCAACGAUCAGUAGCCGACCUGAGAGGGUGACCGGCCACAUUGGGACUGAGACACGGCCCAAACUCCUACGGGAGGCAGCAGUGGGGAAUAUUGCACAAUGGGCGAAAGCCUGAUGCAGCGACGCCGCGUGAGCGAAGAAGUAUUUCGGUAUGUAAAGCUCUAUCAGCAGGGAAGAAAAUGACGGUACCUGACUAAGAAGCCCCGGCUAACUACGUGCCAGCAGCCGC
rnacentral:rRNA from 1 species